rnacentral:rRNA from 1 species
AACGAACGCUGGCGGCGUGCUUAACACAUGCAAGUCGAACGGAAAGGCCCUGCUUAUGUGGGGUGCUCGAGUGGCGAACGGGUGAGUAACACGUGAGUAACCUGCCAUUGACUUUGGGAUAACUUAAGGAAACUGGGGGUAAUACCGGAUAGGAGCUACUGCUGCAUGGUGGGGGUUGGAAAGUUUCGGCGGUUGGGGAUGGACUCGCGGCUUAUCAGCUUGUUGGUGGGGUAGUGGCUUACCAAGGCUUUGACGGGUAGCCGGCCUGAGAGGGUGACCGGCCACAUUGGGACUGAGAUACGGCCCAGACUCCUACGGGAGGCAGCAGUGGGGAAUAUUGCACAAUGGGCGGAAGCCUGAUGCAGCAACGCCGCGUGCGGGAUGACGGCCUUCGGUUUGUAAACCGCUUUCGCCUGUGACGAAGCGUGAGUGACGGUAAUGGGUAAAGAAGCACCGGCUAACUACGUG